rnacentral:rRNA from 1 species
ACGAACGCUGGCGGCGUGCUUAACACAUGCAAGUCGAACGGUAAGGCCCCUUCGGGGGUACACGAGUGGCGAACGGGUGAGUAACACGUGAGCAACCUGCCCUUGACUCUGGAAUAACAGUUGGAAACAGCUGCUAAUACUGGAUAUUCAUCGUCUCCUUCCUGGGGGGUGGUGGAAAGCUCCGGCGGUCAGGGAUGGGCUCGCGGCCUAUCAGCUUGUUGGUGAGGUAAUGGCUCACCAAGGCUUCGACGGGUAGCCGGCCUGAGAGGGCGACCGGCCACACUGGGACUGAGAUACGGCCCAGACUCCUACGGGAGGCAGCAGUGGGGAAUAUUGCACAAUGGGCGCAAGCCUGAUGCAGCAACGCCGCGUGCGGGAUGACGGCCUACGGGUUGUAAACCGCUUUCAGUAGGGACGAAGGGUGACUGACGGUACCUACAGAAGAAGGACCGGCUAACUACGUG